AUUGAACGCUGGCGGCAGGCCUAACACAUGCAAGUCGAACGGUAACAGGAAGCAGCUUGCUGCUUUGCUGACGAGUGGCGGACGGGUGAGUAAUGUCUGGGAAGCUGCCUGAUGGAGGGGGAUAACUACUGGAAACGGUAGCUAAUACCGCAUAAUGUCGCAAGACCAAAGAGGGGGACCUUCGGGCCUCUUGCCAUCGGAUGUGCCCAGAUGGGAUUAGCUUGUUGGUGGGGUAACGGCUCACCAAGGCGACGAUCCCUAGCUGGUCUGAGAGGAUGACCAGCCACACUGGGACUGAGACACGGUCCAGACUCCUACGGGAGGCAGCAGUGGGGAAUAUUGCACAAUGGGCGCAAGCCUGAUGCAGCCAUGCCGCGUGUAUGAAGAAGGCCUUCGGGUUGUAAAGUACUUUCAGCGGGGAGGAAGGGAGUAAAGUUAAUACCUUUGCUCAUUGACGUUACCCGCAGAAGAAGCACCGGCUAACUCCGUG
rnacentral:rRNA from 1 species